rnacentral:rRNA from 1 species
GAGAUUCCCCCAGUAGCGGCGAGCGAACGGGGAGCAGCCCAGAGCCUGAAUCAGUGUGUGUGUUAGUGGAAGCGUCUGGAAAGGCGUGCGAUACAGGGUGACAGCCCCGUACACAAAAAUGCACAUACUGUGAGCUCGAUGAGUAGGGCGGGACACGUGGUAUCCUGUCUGAAUAUGGGGGGACCAUCCUCCAAGGCUAAAUACUCCUGACUGACCGAUAGUGAACCAGUCCCGUGAGGGAAAGGCGAAAAGAA